rnacentral:tRNA from 1 species
AACUUUAAAGCUAUACAGCAUUUCAUUUACACUGAAAAGAUAGAAAUAGUAUACUAAUUGAAUUGU